AACGAACGCUGGCGGCGCGUCUUAACCAUGCAAGUCGAGCGGCAGGCAGCAAUGCCGAGAGCGGCGGACUGGUGAGUAACACGUGGAUAACGUACCCCGAUGUCCGGGACAGCCUGUAGAAAUAGAGGGUAAUACCGGAUGGAUCACUGUUUACGUGAGGUAGACAGCGGGAAAGGAGCUUCGGCUCCGCGACGGGAUCGGUCUGCGGCCCAUCAGCUGGACGGCGGGGUAAAGGCCCGCCGUGGCGAGGACGGGUAUCCGGCCUGAGAGGGCGGACGGACACAUUGGGACUGAGAUACGGCCCAGACUCCUACGGGAGGCAGCAGGUAAGAAUAUUCCGCAAUGGGGGGAACCCUGACGGAGCGACGCCGCGUGAACGAAGAAGGCCGGAAGGUUGUAAAGUUCUUUUCUGUCCGAGGAAUAAGUUUCGGAGGAAAUGCCGGGACGGUGACGGUAGGGCAGGAAUAAGCACCGGCUAAUUACGUG
rnacentral:rRNA from 1 species